rnacentral:rRNA from 1 species
GAAACCAACAGGGAUUGCCUCAGUAACGGCGAGUGAAGCGGCAACAGCUCAAAUUUGAAAUCUGGCCUCUUCGGGGUCCGAGUUGUAAUUUGUAGAGGAUGUUUCGGGCGCGGCACCGGUCUAAGUCUCUUGGAACGGGGCGUCAUAGAGGGUGAGAAUCCCGUAUGCGACCGGCGAACCGCGCCCGUGCGAAACUCCUUCGACGAGUCGAGUUGUUUGGGAAUGCAGCUCCAAAUGGGUGGUAAAUUUCAUCUAAAGCUAAAUACCGGCCAGAGACCGAUAGCGCACAAGUAGAGUGAUCGAAAGAUGAAAAGCACUUUGGAAAGAGAGUCAAACAGUACGUGAAAUUGUUGAAAGGGAAGCGCUUGCGACCAGACCUGCUUCCGGGCGAUCAGCCGUCCUUUUGGGCGGUGCACUCGCCCGUAGACAGGCCAGCAUCGGUUCGGGCGGCCGGAGAAAGACCCCGGGAAUGUGGCUCCUUUCGGGGAGUGUUAUAGCCCGGGGUGCAAUGCGGCCCGCCGGGACCGAGGACCGCGCUUCGGCUAGGAUGCUGGCGUAAUGGUCGUAAGCGGCCCGUCUUGAAACACGGACCAAGGAGUCUAACAUCUAUGCGAGUGUUUGGGCGUGAAACCCAUGCGCGCAAUGAAAGUGAACGGAGGUGGGAACCCGCCAAGGGCGCACCAUCGACCGAUCCAGAUGUCUUCGGAUGGAUUUGAGUACGAGCAUAGCUGUUGGGACCCGAAAGGUACGUUCUACGAUUUUUUAAAAAUUCCCCCCCCCCCCCGCCCACUAGAUAGAUUUAGAUAGUUUCUAUUGUUACCCCAGGGAGGAAGUGGAGGACCCAAAAUAAGAUAUAGAAUAUCAAGAGGAGGUCUGCGGGGGAGCAACAGCGCUUUUNGUUUUUGAAUGUUUUUUUUUUCUGGCAAUUUGCUAGAAGAGCCUAAGCUAACUCUUCUGAAAGAUGGUGAACUAUGCCUGAAUAGGGUGAAGCCAGAGGAAACUCUGGUGGAGGCCCGCAGCGGUUCUGACGUGCAAAUCGAUCGUCAAAUUUGGGUAUAGGGGCGAAAGACUAAUCGAACCAUCUAGUAGCUGGUUCCAGCCGAAGUUUCCCUCAGGAUAGCAGUAACGUUUUCAGUUUUAUGAGGUAAAGCGAAUGAUUAGAGGCCUUGGGGAAGAAACUUCCUUAACCUAUUCUCAAACUUUAAAUAUGUAAGAAGUCCUUGUUGCUUCGUUGAACGUGGACAUUUGAAUGCACCGUUACUAGUGGGCCAUUUUUGGUAAGCAGAACUGGCGAUGCGGGAUGAACCGAACGCGAGGUUAAGGUGCCGGAAUGCACGCUCAUCAGACACCACAAAAGAUGUCAAUUCAUCUAGACAGCCGGACGGUGGCCAUGGAAGUCGGAAUCCGCUAAGGAGUGUGUAACAACUCACCGGCCGAAUGAAUUGGCUCUGAAAAUGGAUGGCGCUCAAGCGUGCUACCCAUACCUCGCCGCCAGGGUAGAAACGAUACCCUGGCGAGUAGGCUGGCGUGGGGGUCGGUGACGAAGCCUUGGGGGUGACCCCGG